rnacentral:rRNA from 1 species
UUAAUGAAAUUAUGACUGGGGUUGUAGCUGGCCUAUAAAACGGCAUGUGCACGCUCCUUUCACAAUCCACACACACCUGUGCACCUUCGCGGGGGUCUUUUUUUCUCUUCGGGGGAAUAAAGGCUCGCGUCCCUUUACACACCCUUUGUAUGUCUUAAGAAUGUCUACUCGAUGUAAUAAAACGCAUCUAAUACAACUUUCAACAACGGAUCUCUUGGCUCUCGCAUCGAUGAAGAACGCAGCGAAAUGCGAUAAGUAAUGUGAAUUGCAGAAUUCAGUGAAUCAUCGAAUCUUUGAACGCACCUUGCGCCCUUUGGUAUUCCGAAGGGCACACCUGUUUGAGUGUCGUGAAAUUCUCAACCCUCCUCGCUUUUUCGGCGAGCGUAGGGAUUGGACUUGGAGGCUUUGCCGGGCUCUCAUCGCUCGGCUCCUCUCAAAUGCAUUAGUGCGUCUUGUUGCGACGUGCGCCUCGGUGUGAUAAUUAUCUACGCUGUGGUGCGCUUGCUUCUUGUGGAGACACGCUUUCGAACCGUCCGAAAGGACAGCUUUCAUCGAACUUUGACCUCAAAUCAGGUGGGACUACCCGCUGAAC